UGGAGCAUGUGGUUAAUUCGAUGCAACGCGAAGAACCUUACCUGGGCUUGACAUCCCGGGAAUCCUUGGAAACAAGGGAGUGCCCUUCGGGGAACCUGGAGACAGGUGCUGCAUGGCUGUCGUCAGCUCGUGUCGUGAGAUGUAGGGUUAAGUCCCGCAACGAGCGCAACCCUUAUCUUUAGUUACCAUCAUUAAGUUGGGGACUCUAAAGAUACUGCCCCGGUUAACGGGAGGAAGGUGGGGAUGACGUCAAGUCCUCAUGGCCUUUAUGUCCAGGGCUACACACGUGCUACAAUGGGUUGUACAAAGGGUUGCGAACUCGCGAGAGUAAGCCAAUCCCAAAAAGCAACUCUUAGUUCGGAUUGGAGCCUGCAACUCGACUCCAUGAAGCUGGAAUCGCUAGUAAACGCAGGUCAGCUAUACUGCGUUGAAUACGUUCCCGGGGCUU
rnacentral:rRNA from 1 species